rnacentral:lncRNA from 1 species
UAGAAAGGACAAAGGUAUGUGACUAUCCUUAGCCCUAACUCCUAUUCUCAUAGUGAGGAAAGGAGAUGAGAGGAACAGACAAGGGUUCUUAAGCCUUUCCACCCACUUCCCAUUAGUAGCAGCUAGUCCCAAGCCUCUCCUCUCUGGCCAUUCCUCAUCCUUUUUUUUUUUUUUUUUUUCCUACCCCAUCUUAAAGAACAAGACACAUUUGACCAUCAACAUCAAUCAUGCUAUCUUGGUGUAGGAGAGGAACAGAAAAGCAAAGAGGAUUGCUUUCUUGCCUCCAAAGUCAAAUGCCUCUUGAUCUUGGAAAGGGUAAGGGUUGGACAAUUAGGUAUCAGGUAAAUUUCUCCAUAGUUUAGAGAGCUGGGGCAUUACACUUCAAUUAUUGCCUCUUUAUUAAUACCAAGUAUGGGGGAAGGGGUUGUCUUAUGAAUAUACACCUGAGUUAAGCCCCCCGUUUCCUGGUCUUUUCUAUCCCCUAAGAGGCUUGAGGAUAUGGCCCAGCGCUGGCACCUCUUCCCACACUACCUGUGUGGACUGGCCAGUGCUCCUCUGAACAUAUUAUUAGUGUAAUUCUUUACUUUGUGUAUUUGUUACAUCAUGUGUGUGAUUGCCUUUGUUUGUUAAGGGUGUCUGAGGAGUAUGGGCUGACAGGGGAACUGGAAUGCCAGGAAAGGGACUUCUUCAAUGAAAUCAAGGUUUCCAGGAAGGAACCAUUGCAAAAAGGCCAUCAGGCAGUUUUCAAGUUAUGUGACAGAGGGCAAAGAUGGCCAAAGGGUGCUCUGAGUUUUGGGACGGUCACAUGACACAAUCCAGCACUUGAACCUGAAAAAAGAAAAAUAAAAGCAGUCAAAGAGU